rnacentral:sRNA from 1 species
UGUGUUCAGUCUCAUUAAUUGGAUUUUUCUUUCAUGUUGUUUGUAGAUGGAUGCCACUACCCCCAAGUACUCCAAGGCCAGGUACGAUGAAAUCAUCAAGGAGGUGUCUUCCUACUUGAAGAAGGUUGGUUACAACCCCGACAAAAUCCCAUUUGUGCCCAUCUCUGGAUUUGAGGGUGACAACAUGAUUGAGAGGUCCACCAACCUUGACUGGUACAAGGGACCAACUCUCCUUGAGGCUCUUGACCAGAUCAACGAGCCCAAGAGGCCGUCAGACAAGCCCCUUCGUCUCCCACUUCAGGAUGUCUACAAGAUUGGUGGUAUUGGAACGGUGCCAGUGGGACGUGUUGAGACUGGUAUGAUCAAGCCUGGUAUGGUUGUGACCUUUGCUCCCACAGGAUUGACCACUGAGGUCAAGUCUGUUGAGAUGCACCACGAGUCUCUUCUUGAGGCACUUCCAGGUGACAACGUUGGGUUCAAUGUUAAGAAUGUUGCCGUGAAGGAUCUUAAGAGAGGGUACGUCGCCUCCAACUCCAAGGAUGACCCUGCCAAGGGUGCUGCUAACUUCACCUCCCAGGUCAUCAUCAUGAACCACCCUGGUCAGAUUGGUAACGGUUACGCCCCAGUCUUGGAUUGCCACACCUCUCACAUUGCAGUCAAGUUCUCUGAGAUCUUGACCAAGAUUGACAGGCGUUCUGGUAAGGAGAUUGAGAAGGAGCCCAAAUUCUUGAAGAAUGGUGAUGCUGGUAUGGUGAAGAUGACUCCAACCAAGCCCAUGGUUGUGGAGACCUUCUCUGAGUACCCACCACUUGGACGUUUCGCUGUUAGGGACAUGAGGCAGACUGUUGCAGUCGGUGUUAUCAAGAGUGUUGACAAGAAGGACCCAACCGGAGCCAAGGUUACCAAGGCUGCAGUUAAGAAGGGUGCAAAGUGAACUCGAAUCCUCAAAACUCUAUCCGCAGAUGAAUCAAAA